ACGGGAGGCAGCAGUGGGGAAUAUUGGACAAUGGGCGCAAGCCUGAUCCAGCCAUGCCGCGUGAGUGAUGAAGGCCUUAGGGUUGUAAAGCUCUUUUGUCCGGGACGAUAAUGACGGUACCGGAAGAAUAAGCCCCGGCUAACUUCGUGCCAGCAGCCGCGGUAAUACGAAGGGGGCUAGCGUUGCUCGGAAUCACUGGGCGUAAAGGGCGCGUAGGCGGCCAUUCAAGUCGGGGGUGAAAGCCUGUGGCUCAACCACAGAAUUGCCUUCGAUACUGUUUGGCUUGAGUAUGGUAGAGGUUGGUGGAACUGCGAGUGUAGAGGUGAAAUUCGUAGAUAUUCGCAAGAACACCGGUGGCGAAGGCGGCCAACUGGACCAUUACUGACGCUGAGGCGCGAAAGCGUGGGGAGCAAACAGGAUUAGAUACCCUGGUA
rnacentral:rRNA from 1 species